UUUGGAGUUUGGUCUGAGUUGAUUUCUAGUCAGAUAAAAAAAUAUUAAUUAUCAUUAUCAUCACCACAGGUCUUCAGAUUUUGAAGCAAACAAAAUGUUACUUGAUGGACACAAAGCAGAGCUAAGUUUUGACACAAAUCACCUGCAUAUUGUUAGUAUAUUCAUGUACACACAUUCAGCCCAGUUCUGUCUCAAAUGAAUUAAAUUCCUGGAGUCCCACUGACCACAUGAAGAAGGAAAAUGACCUGAAAUCACAUGUUGAACAGCUCCAAAUAGAGAAAACUGGAUGUAUCCAUCUCAGAGAAAGGAGAGCAAAACAAGGUCUGUUGGUAGAAGUCUCAAAUAUUAUGCAGCUUCUCCCCAUUUCUCAUUUCCUCAUUUUUCUGAUCUGGGAGGAGAGCUUCUUUGUCUUGUCAUGAUCAAAGGGAGAGGAGAGUGCCUGAUGUUAUCAGGAUUUUCACGGUAUGCCAAAUUAGUAGAGAAAAAGACAGGGAGGAAGGGAAAAGAGAGUUAUAAAAUUACUUUUAUUUCAUGAUAUGCUGUUUAUUUCAAGAACAUGUUGGUAUGCAUUUGAAUUGAGAACCCAAACGCUGAAAUCAC
rnacentral:lncRNA from 1 species